UACGGAGGAUGCAAGCGUUAUCCGGAUUUAUUGGGUUUAAAGGGUGCGCAGGUUGUUUGAUAAGUCAGUGGUGAAAGUCUGUCGCUUAACGGUAGGAUUGCCAUUGAUACUGUUAGACUUGAAUAUGGAUGAGGUAGGCGGAAUGUGUAGUGUAGCGGUGAAAUGCAUAGAUAUUACACAGAACACCGAUUGCGAAGGCAGCUUACUAAGCUACAACUGACACUGAAGCACGAAAGCGUGGGGAUCAAACAGGAUUA
rnacentral:rRNA from 1 species